AGCGAAAGCGAGUGCGAAUAGCGCGUUCCAGUUUCAGGGAGCAGACCCGAAACCGAGUGAUCUAUCCAUGGCCAGGUUGAAGCAGAGGUAAGACUCUGUGAAGGACCGAACCAGUUGCUGUUGAAAAAGCUUUGGAUGAGCUGUGGAUAGGGGUGAAAGGCCAAUCAAACUUGGUGAUAUCUUGUUCUCUCCGAAAUAACUUUAGGGUUAGCCUCAGUGAUAGAUAUUGGGGGUAGAGCACUGGAUCCAUGCGGGGGCCUACCGGCCUACCAAAGGGAACCAAACUCCGAAUACCGUAAUAGAAGCCAGGAGAUAGACUGUGGGGGAUAAGCUUCAUAGUCGAAAGGGGAACAGCCCAGAUCGUCGAUUAAGGCCCCUAAUUCUAUGCUAAGUGAGUAAGGAAGUGAAGUUUCAAAGACAGUUGGGAUGUUGGCUUAGAGGCAGCCAUCAUUUAAAGAGUGCGUAACAGCUCACCAAUCGAGAGACUUUGCGCCGAUAAUUCAUGGGACUAAGUAUAGAGCCGAAAUCACGGAUGUAUACGUAAGUAUACGUGGUAGGAGAGCGUAGUAUGUGCGGAGAAGGUAUACCGUAAGGAGUGCUGGAGCGCAUACUAGUGAAGAUGCAUGGCAUAAGUAACGAUAAAGAGGGUGAGAAUCCCUCUCGCCGAAAACCCAAGGUUUCCAGGGUAAAGUUCGUCUUCCCUGGGUUAGCCGGCCCCUAAGCCGAGGUCGAAAGGCGUAGGUGAUGGGAAACAGGUUAAAUAUUCCUGUGCCACCUAAAGCAAUGGGAUGGGGUGACGAAGUAAGUAAAGCACGCGGACAGUUGGUGCUCCGUUUUUCUAUGAGGUGGUCUGGUAGGCAAAUCCGCCAGAGUAAAGCUAGGUAGAAGAGGAGGGGAAACUUCGGUGGAACCGAACGUGUAGAGCAAUGCUUCCAAGAAAUAACCUCUAACCGCUGAUGGUGACCGUACCGUAAACCGACACAGGUGGGUGAGAAGAAUAUUCUAAGGCGCGCGAGAGAACUCUCGUUAAGGAACUCGGCAAAUUAUCCCCGUAACUUCGGGAGAAGGGGAGCCUUUUCAUGUGAUUGACUUAGCGUCAUGAGCGUGGGGAGGCCGCAGAGAAAUGGCCCAGGCGACUGUUUAUCAAAAACACAGCACUAUGCAAAGUUGUUAAGACGAAGUAUAUGGUGUGAAGCCUGCCCAAUGCCAAAAGGUCAAAAGGAGGGGUUAGAUCUUCGGAUCAAAGCUCUGAAUUUAAGCCCUGGUGAAUGGCGGCCGUAACUAUAACGGUCCUAAGGUAGCGAAAUUCCUUGUCGGGUAAGUUCCGACCUGCACGAAUGGCGUAACGAUCUGGGCACUGUCUCAACGAGAGACUCGGUGAAAUUGUAGUAGCGGUGAAGAUGCCGUUUACCCGCGACAAGACGGAAAGACCCCGUGAACCUUUACUGUAUCCUGAUAUUGACUUUCGACAUGGCAUAUGUA
rnacentral:rRNA from 1 species